GAGGGCAGCCCGGUCUGGGCACUGGCUCUUCUCUGCCGAGCGCUGGUGCUGGCGCAGCUCGCGGGGAGCUGCCUCGCCGCCGGGUCCCUGCCGGGUCCCCGCCGCUCUCCGCGCUGGAACCCCCGGAGCGAGGGCAUCUCGGCCAAGGCUUUUGUCAAGCACCAAAAUCCAAGCGACGGCGAGAUUCAAUCCAGAAUCUGAUGGUCUACAACUGAGGUGUCACUUCAGCCUCUUCAGAAGCCCGCAAAUGAGAGGCAGCAAAAGCAUGUUCUGAUGUAAAAGUGUUUUCUUCAUUUCUUCCCUGUCAGCUCUGAGGAUUUUAUCCACACUGGUAAAAACCCCCCAAAAUAUCGUAGUGUUCACACUGUACCUCCUUUAAUAGGCAUGGAAGCACAAACAAACAUGGACCCACUUUGGAAUCUAGGAUUUUGGUUCCAUUCUUGACAGGUUCCCUUAGAUUCUGAGAUUGUUGUAAUUCGAGAUAUUUUUAGUUGAAGGUUUUAGCUUGGGCCUCUCUCUGGAUUUGGAGGCUUGCAGUAUUUCCAGUAUGAUCAUAAUUCUGAUAAAUCUGCUUGCAGUAUUGCAGUAAAUCUUUAGAAAUUCAUUUGUCUAUUUUGUUUUUGAAAAAUCACGAGUACUUUCAGUGUUUGAAAUAAAGAAAAAAUCAGUUUGAUUCUGUUUAUUUAACAGUUUCAAUAGCUAUGCCACUGAAGUUACAAUUUAUUUGCUUGUCUUUCUGGAACAGAGUGAUAGGUUGGCAAGUACAACAGUUACCUUUUUGCAAUGUAGAGGGAUUUCUCAGCAAACAAAAUAGCACAUUUAAUGUGUCAUAGUUUGGUUCCCAAACCAUUCUAACAUUUGUAUAGCAACUACUGUAUGAAAUGGUGUCAGAAAACCAAUUUGAAGCUGGCUAGUCUGCAAAUGAUAGAUUUAUAGAUAGCUUCCAUUUUAGAUGUGGAAUGCCCAGCCUCCUAUUUUUAAUAUGCCUUUU